rnacentral:lncRNA from 1 species
GACCAUUCAUCCUUCCCCAGUCGGGGGGGGGGGGGCUGAUCCCCAUUCCCUCACAGGCCAAAUCCCACGGGAAGAAGAAGAGGAAAGGGAGAGAUAGUAGUUUGGGUAUUUUGGGAAUAACUUCCCAUGUAUAUAAAAAAUAAGAAUGAAGUGCUGAGGGAAGAAGGGAGGAAGCCGAUCGUGAUACAGAUGGGAGUCCGCUGCUGUGCUGCUGCUGCCGUCCACCACUCCAUGGAAGGUUGAUCUUCUCUCUAGGGCUGGAUGCAGCCCUAACAAAGGGAGACGGGUUUUAUAUUUUAUUUUAUAUUUUUGGGGUUGUAUGAACUUAUUGUUUUUAAUGGAUAUCUUCUUUUGAAUCAUAUUUAAUUUCUGUGAUUUUAAGUAUGAUGUUCGUACAACUGUUCUUCAUGAUCACUAGGUAAAUAUAAGAUAGUCCAUGUUUAGGGAAGAUGCGAUGUGCUGCCACCUUAGAUUAGGGUAGACAUUUCAUGCCAACUAAAGAUGGAUUAUGCCCAAAUUACUUUUGUGAAAUUUUAUUCGAAUGCUUAUUAGGCUUGUAGCCAAUUUG